ensembl:lncRNA
CUCAAGUGCAGGUCUGUCACAUGUACCACCAGAGACCUAAACUCUCCUCAGAUACUUCUCUGCAGCUUCUGCAGGGACGCUUUGGAGAGGACGUCAUUGGUGGGAACUUGCCCCCUGUCUUUGCCUGGGUGUAGACCUGUCUGUCCCCCUGUGAAGAUCCCGUCUGACUGUAGAUGUUGAACUACCUCAGAGCUGGACUCCAUGAAUACAUAAAUCAAACUUGGAAGGCAGAAGAUGGCCUGUGGUCCCUGUCUUGAUCAGGGAGUACAGAGAGCUGCUUACAGGCCCUCUCACACAAUCGUUUUAGCACUUCCUAGGCAUACUCCCUUGGUGCUGCAGAGCUCACAGCCAUGUCCAGAGGCAGGCUGAGGUGUGUUCCAGGUCAGCUGAGCAUGGUAGGAGGGAUGGGGUCAGUAAGAAGAUUGAGCUGUCUGGUGCAGUUUAGAAUAAUAACUCAACAGACAUAAUUAGUCCAAACUGGAAGGGACUGGAUGACCAAACAUCAAAGAUGCCACUCAGGCUGUGCGAGAGGAAGAAGGAAAGGCUGGAAGCUGCCCUUGGACAAAACUUCUGAGCCUGCCCCACAUGUGGCCCAUACAUAUACAGCCACCCAAUUAGAUAAGAUGGAUGAAGCAAAGAAGUGCAGGCCGACAGGAACCGGAUGUAGAUCUCUCCUGAGAGACACAGCCAGAAUACAGCAAAUACAGAGGCGAAUGCCAGAAGCAAACCACUGAACUGAGAACGGGACCCCCGUUGAAGGAAUCAGAGAAAGGACUGGA